GACGAACGCUGGCGGCGUGCUUAACACAUGCAAGUCGAACGGAAAGGCCCUGCUUUUGUGGGGUGCUCGAGUGGCGCACGGGUGAGUAACACGUGAGUAACCUGGCCUUGGCUUUGGGAUAACUUCAGGCAACUGGGGCUAAUACCGGAUAGGAGCUCCUGCUGCAUGGUGGGGGUUGGAAAUUUUCGGCGGUUGGGGAUGGACUCGGGGCUUAUCAGCUUGUUGGUGGGGUAGUGGCUUACCAAGGCUUUGACUGGUAGCCGGCCUGAGAGGGUGACCGGCCACAUUGGGACUGAGAUACGGCCCAGACUCCUACGGGAGGCAGCAGUGGGGAAUAUUGCACAAUGGGCGGAAGCCUGAUGCAGCAACGCCGCGUGCGGGAUGACGGCCUUCGGGUUGUAAACCGCUUUCGCCUGUGACGAAGCGUUAGUGACGGUAAUGGGUAAAGAAGCACCGGCUAACUACGUG
rnacentral:rRNA from 1 species